UACGUAGGUGGCGAGCGUUAUCCGGAAUGAUUGGGCGUAAAGGGUGCGUAGGCGGCCUGCUAAGUCUGAAGUGAAAGGCAAGGGCUCAACCUUUGGACUGCUUUGGAAACUGUGCAGCUAGAGUGUCGGAGAGGCAAGUGGAAUUCCUAGUGUAGCGGUGAAAUGCGUAGAUAUUAGGAGGAACACCAGUGGCGAAGGCGGCUUGCUGGACGAUGACUGACGUUGAGGCUCGAAAGCGUGGGGAGCAAACAGG
rnacentral:rRNA from 1 species